rnacentral:lncRNA from 10 species
CCUAAUUCAUCUAUGCUCAUCCAUUGAAAAAACCAUUAGUGGUAACAUGUGUCUCUUGAAAGAAUUUUUAUUCACCUAGAUUUUGACUCCAACAGAGCUAAUGAUAAGACUGUAAAAUUCUAUGUGGCUUUCUAACAUCCUCAUCAUAUAAACUAAAACCUUGUCCUCAUAGCAGCUCAGGUCCCUUCGAUAAAAUGGCUAUGACAGAGAUUGGCUAAAAGCUCACUAAUUCCAUUAACUCUUCCUGAAAUUCAAUCGAGAACAAGUUCUGUGUGAUGGGAUGUGGUGGAAGUGAUAUACAUAAUUUCCAGGCCUGGCCAUAAAACACCAUGGAUUGACUGACCACAUUCUGUCUUCCUUUUCUGCAGUGGCUUUUGGCAGUGUGUUGAAAAUGACAAGUGUCACAAAAUUGGAAAAGUCUGGGUUUCCAAGUGACCAUGUUGGGGGACAGCUCCUAAGAAUGGCUUGUCAACCUCUACUGGACUAUGAUAUAACCAAGAAAGCAGUCUUUAUUGUGUUAAGCUAUUGAGAUUUCAGAGUUCAUUUCUUACUAUAGCUUAGCAUAGCCUAACCUGACUAAUUUGGAAAUGGAAGCCAUUUCAUCCAAGAAAAUGAUACGGUUUCCUUCUUAGAUGACAUAACCAAUUUGAGAAUCAGAUACUGGUUUAGCAAAAGGCCUUUUCUGUCAGAUAAAAUAUCUAUAGAGGGUUUUGAUCAAGUGCCCAAUCUGAUCAACCUCCUACCAUGUUACUUCCCUGCUCAAAAUACCCUAAAGCUUAACCAUUGUUUAACAUUUAAGGGCUUUUCAAACUGACUAGUAAAUACUAAGUUUGAAGGGAUUAAACGCAUGCAAAGCACUAUGCAUGCUGCUUGAUAAAACAUAGUUAUUAAGCAAUUUUCUUCCUUUUCCUUUUUCUUUUAUCCUGAGGAAUUAUAGACUACUAAGCAGACAGAUAUUUGAGGAAAUUUCAGAGGAAAGAGAAAGAAGAGAAGAAUGAGCUGGGCUGGAGGGCUCUUGGGUGCCUAAACCAACUGGAAGCCAAAGGGCAUGGGAGCCCAAUGAUGACAGAGGUCAGCCUCCCAGAAUAAAGAGCAAGGGAGAGAAGGUCAAAGAAUGGCUACAGAUGGACAAACAAAAUGUAUAUGGCACAGGAAUAUAAAACUAUGCUUCUUAUUUUGUUAUGUAAGUAAAGUCCUUUUUAAUUAACCCUGUUGCCUCCACAAAGUUAUGUGAAGUUAUAAGUUAAAGAAAUACUUGAGAUGGCCAGGUGCGGUGGCUCACGCCUGUAAUCCCAGGUCUCUGGGAGGCCAAAGCGGGUGGAUCAUGAG